UAUAAAGAAUAUCUAGAGAAUUCUAGGAAAAUAUCUUGAUGUGUAGUCUAAGUGUCUCUAGAAAAUUGUGAGGACUAGAAUCUUCAUAUAAACACUAUAUAAAGGGGUAGUGUCCCCCAUUUUAUAACAAGCCAAAAAAUGUGUAAAGUUUUGAAGUUGAGAAAUACAAAUUUCCUUUUUCAUUUUCUUCUUCCUAUUAGUGUUGUCUUCUUAAAAGCCUUAGCCAAUCCAAGUUAGUAAACCCAUCUUUCCUCCAACAUACUCGUCUCUCUUCAUUCUUGUUUACAAUGACACUGCAUUAUUGACUAUCUAGGGCAAUUUUUUGUAAAAGUAUAUUAUAUGCAAACUUACUACUUUGUUCACUAGAGAUCUUUUGAGAAAUGUAAAGGGCCAUAAGGAUGAGGAUAUUCAAAAAGGCCAAGCAGUAAAAAAUCAAAGGGCUCUUUGGGACAAAACACUCGAAUUUAGAUUCUUGCUGCAAAAAGCAUUCUCUAGUUCUAACAGGCUUUGACAGGAACCAAUUAGGUCCUCAUUCUAUGAUUCUACUAAUGGAGUUUGUGAAGCGUACUCUGAUUUAAUCACUUUCUCAAAAAAGACCUUGGAUUCCAUACUGGAGUUACAACAGGUGUGGCGCUGAUGAAAAUAUUCCUUUCUCAAUUUAACUGAUGGUAUAACUUU